AAAAAAGGUAAGCUACUAAGAGCGAAUGGUGGAUGCCUUGACUGGUAAAGGCGAUGAAGGACGUACUAGACUGCGAUAAGCUACGGGGAGCUGUCAAGAAGCUUUGAUCCGUAGAUUUCCGAAUGGGGCAACCCAAUGUAUAGAGAUAUACAUUACCUAUAUAGGAGCGAACGAGGGGAAUUGAAACAUCUUAGUACCCUCAGGAAAAGAAAUCAAUAGAGAUUGCGUCAGUAGCGGCGAGCGAAAGCGCAAGAGGGCAAACCCAGUGCUUGCACUGGGGGUUGUAGGACUGCAAUGUGCAAGAGGUGAGUUUAGCAGAACAUUCUGGAAAGUAUAGCCAUAGAGGGUGAUAGUCCCGUAUGCGAAAAACAAACCUUAGCUAGCAGUAUCCUGAGUAGGGCGGGACACGAGAAAUCCUGUCUGAAGCUGGGUCGACCACGAUCCAACCCUAAAUACUAAUACCAGAUCGAUAGUGCACAAGUACCGUGAGGGAAAGGUGAAAAGAACUGAGGUGAUCAGAGUGAAAUAGAACCUGAAACCAUUUGCUUACAAUCAUUCAGAGCCCUAUGUAGCAAUACAGGGUGAUGGACUGCCUUUUGCAUAAUGAGCCUGCGAGUUGUGGUGUCUGGCAAGGUUAAGCAAACGCGAAGCCGUAGCGAAAGCGAGUCUGAAUAGGGCGCUUAGUCAGAUGCUGCAGACCCGAAACGAAGUGAUCUAUCCAUGAGCAAGUUGAAGCUAGUGUAAGAACUAGUGGAGGACUGAACCCAUAGGCGUUGAAAAGCCCCGGGAUGACUUGUGGAUAGGGGUGAAAGGCCAAUCAAACUUCGUGAUAGCUGGUUCUCUCCGAAAUAUAUUUAGGUAUAGCGUUGUGUCGUAAUAUAAGGGGGUAGAGCACUGAAUGGGCUAGGGCAUACACCAAUGUACCAAACCCUAUCAAACUCCGAAUACCUUAUAUGUAAUCACAGCAGUCAGGCGGCGAGUGAUAAAAUCCGUCGUCAAGAGGGAAACAACCCAGACUACCAGCUAAGGUCCCUAAAUCUUACUUAAGUGGAAAACGAUGUGAAGUUACUUAAACAACCAGGAGGUUGGCUUAGAAGCAGCCAUCCUUUAAAGAAAGCGUAAUAGCUCACUGGUCUAGUGAUUUUGCGCGGAAAAUAUAACGGGGCUAAAGUAAGUACCGAAGCUGUAGACUUGCGCACAACUUAGAUUAUUUAAGUUUAGAAUAUGAGAAACUAAGUUAUAUGUUUAGUUAUAUUUUUACUGAUUUUUAUAGAGUAAAGAUAGAAAUAAAACUUAGUAAAAUCAGUAAAAAUAUUCUUAGAUUAAAGUUAAGUAGUUUAAGUUGUGUGCAAGUGGUAGGAGAGCGUUCUAUUUGCGUCGAAGGUAUACCGGUAAGGAGUGCUGGAGCGAAUAGAAGUGAGCAUGCAGGCAUGAGUAGCGAUAAUUAAUGUGAGAAUCAUUAACGCCGUAAACCCAAGGUUUCCUACGCGAUGCUCGUCAUCGUAGGGUUAGUCGGGUCCUAAGUCGAGUCCGAAAGGGGUAGACGAUGGCAAAUUGGUUAAUAUUCCAAUACCAACAUUAGUGUGCGAUGGAAGGACGCUUAGGGCUAAGGGGGCUAGCGGAUGGAAGUGCUAGUCUAAGGUCGUAGGAGGUUAUACAGGCAAAUCCGUAUAACAAUACUCCGAGAACUGAAAGGCUUUUUGAAGUCUUCGGAUGGAUAGAAGAACCCCUGAUGCC
rnacentral:rRNA from 1 species